rnacentral:snRNA from 1 species
CGGAAUUUUUUUUCGCUAAAAUAGAAACGAUACAGAAAAGAUUAGAAUGACCCCUACACAAGGAUGAGACGAA